AUUUACAUCGUAACUGCGUGAGACAAGUGAGGUAUUACGACACACUGGACGAAUUAAAGAAGUUCAUUUGUAACACCAGAACCGAAAAGGAUUACGCAGAAUAUCUGAGAUGCAUAACCCCCGCAUUGCUGGCAGAAAACAAAGCCAAUCCAAAUUUACUGGGAAUAUAUCAGAAAUGCUUAAAUCAAGUGGAAAGAAGUGAACAUACUUAUUACUGAACACUCUGAUAACUAAUAAUGUGUUAAUUCUUUCUGUAUCAAAGUGUCAAAUAAAAUAUAUGCAUGC